rnacentral:rRNA from 1 species
GUCAUGGCUCAGAUUGAACGCUGGCGGCAUGCUUUACACAUGCAAGUCGAACGGCAGCACAGGGAGCUUGCUCCCGGGUGGCGAGUGGCGCACGGGUGAGUAAUACAUCGGAACGUGUCCUGUUGUGGGGGAUAACUGCUCGAAAGGGUGGCUAAUACCGCAUGAGACCUGAGGGUGAAAGCGGGGGAUCGCAAGACCUCGCGCAAUUGGAGCGGCCGAUGCCCGAUUAG